rnacentral:rRNA from 1 species
GUGCCAGCCGCCGCGGUAAUACGGAGGGGGCUAGCGUUGUUCGGAAUUACUGGGCGUAAAGGGUGCGUAGGCGGCUGUCCAAGUCGGGUGUGAAAGCCCCGGGCUCAACCCGGGAUGUGCAUCCGAGACUGAAUGGCUUGAGUUCGGGAGAGGUGAGUGGAAUUCCCAGUGUAGAGGUGAAAUUCGUAGAUAUUGGGAAGAACACCGGUGGCGAAGGCGGCUCACUGGACCGACACUGACGCUGAGGCACGAAAGCGUGGGGAGCAAACAGGAUUAGAAACCCUGGUAGUCC